rnacentral:ribozyme from 1 species
GCUAUAUUGCAGCACUUCCGGUUCUGUACCGCAAAUGGCAAAACCCUGACAUCUCCCAUGACAAGAGAAGUCUUACAGAGCAAUCGUCUGCUUG